UACGAAGGGGGCUAGCGUUGCUCGGAAUUACUGGGCGUAAAGAGCUCGUAGGUGGUUUGUCGCGUUGUUCGUGAAAACUCACAGCUUAACUGUGGGCGUGCGGGCGAUACGGGCAGACUGGAGUACUGCAGGGGAGACUGGAAUUCCUGGUGUAGCGGUGGAAUGCGCAGAUAUCAGGAGGAACACCCGUGGCGAAGGCGGCUCUCUGGGACGGUACUGACGCUGAGACGCGAAAGCGUGGGGAGCGAACAGG
rnacentral:rRNA from 1 species